AUUGAAACAUUGGUUCCCAUAUGAUCACCAAAGUUAUGCAAUGUUGGGCCUAGUCAGUACCUUGAUGGAUGACCCCUUGGAAAUACCAGGUGUUGUAA